rnacentral:rRNA from 1 species
GACGAACGCUGGCGGCGUGCUUAACACAUGCAAGUCGAACGGAAAGGCCCUGCUCUUGUGGGGUGCUCGAGUGGCGAACGGGUGAGUAACACGUGAGUAACCUGCCCUUGACUUUGGGAUAACUUCAGGAAACUGGGGCUAAUACCGGAUAGGAGCUCCUGCUGCAUGGUGGGGGUUGGAAAGUUUCGGCGGUUGGGGAUGGACUCGCGGCUUAUCCGCUUGUUGGUGGGGUAGUGGCUUACCAAGGCUUUGACGGGUAGCCGGCCUGAGAGGGUGACCGGCCACAUUGGGACUGAGAUACGGCCCAGACUCCUACGGGAGGCAGCAGUGGGGAAUAUUGCACAGUGGGUGGAAGCCUGAUGCAGCAACGCCGCGUGCGGGAUGACGGCCUUCGGGUUGUAAACCGCUUUCGCCUGUGACGAAGCGUGAGUGACGGUAAUGGGUAAAGAAGCACCGGCUAACUACGUG